rnacentral:rRNA from 1 species
UACGUAGGGUGCAAGCGUUGUCCGGAAUUAUUGGGCGUAAAGCGCGCGUAGGUGGCUUCGUAAGUCCGUUGUGAAAGUCAAAGGCUCAACCUUUGAAAGCCGAUGGAUACUGCGGAGCUAGAGUACGGAAGAGGCGAGUGGAAUUCCUGGUGUAGCGGUGAAAUGCGCAGAUAUCAGGAGGAACGCCGAUGGCGAAGGCAGGUCUCUGGGCAUUAACUGACGCUGAGGAGCGAAAGCAUGGGGAGCGAACAGG